CGCACAUUGCGCCCCCUGGUAUUCCGGGGGGCAUGCCUGUCCGAGCGUCAUUGCUGCCCUCAAGCACGGCUUGUGUGUUGGGCUCCGUCCCCCCGGGGACGGGUCCGAAAGGCAGCGGCGGCACCGAGUCCGGUCCUCGAGCGUAUGGGGCUUUGUCACCCGCUCUGUAGGCCCGGCCGGCGCCAGCCGACAACCAAUCAUCCUUUUCAGGUUGACCUCGGAUCAGGUAGGGAUACCCGCUGAACUUAA
rnacentral:misc_RNA from 1 species